rnacentral:snoRNA from 1 species
ACUCCCUGGCAAUGGACAGAGACACCUCAUUGUUGGUGUUGUUCUUAAAUCAGUCAGGGGCAGAGCAGAUGACAAUCCUUUGUUCAUCCUAGCUUGAUGCCUGGGUUGGUGGCCAAAGCUGUUUCAUGUCUAGGGCACAUUA